UGGUGGGUUGCCUUGUCAGGUUGAUUCCGGUAACGAACGAGACCUCAGCCUGCUAAAUAGUCACGUCCGCCCUGGCGGUCGGCAGACUUCUUAGAGGGACUAUUGGCGUCUAGCCAUUGGAAGCAUGAGGCAAUAACA
rnacentral:rRNA from 1 species